rnacentral:rRNA from 1 species
GACGAACGCUGGCGGCGUGCCUAACACAUGCAAGUCGAGCGGAAAGGCCCUUCGGGGUUCUCGAGCGGCGAACGGGUGAGUAACACGUGAGUAACCUGCCCCAGACUUUGGGAUAACCCUCGGAAACGGGGGCUAAUACCGGAUACGACACAGCUUCGCAUUGGGUGUGUGUGGAAAGGUUUUCGGUUUGUGAUGGGCUCGCGGCCUAUCAGCUUGUUGGUGGGGUGAUGGCGUACCAAGGCGACGACGGGUAGCCGGCCUGAGAGGGCGACCGGCCACACUGGGACUGAGGCACGGCCCAGACUCCUACGGGAGGCAGCAGUGGGGAAUAUUGCACACUGGGCGGAAGCCUGAUGCAGCGACGCCGCGUGAGGGAUGACGGCCUUCGGGUUGUAAACCUCUUUCAGCAGGGACGAAGCGUAAGUGACGGUACCUGCAGAAGAAGCGCCGGCCAACUACGUG